GUUUGAAGGGGAGAGAGUGCAGAAGAGACAAUGAUAUUGAAAAGACCUUUGUAAACAUUUUGCUUACAUGGUUUUCUGACCCUGGAAAAUAAUCCCUGCAUAUGAAAUGAAACAGACAUUUUUCUAGUAAGUCAUCAUUCUUCUGUGCUGCUGAAGUAAUCUUGUUGUGUUCAUUGGUAUAAUUAAUUUAUCUUAAUAUCUGUUAGUUAUUACAAAGACUAUAUAUGUA
rnacentral:lncRNA from 1 species